rnacentral:rRNA from 1 species
AUUGAACGCUGGCGGCAUGCCUUACACAUGCAAGUCGAACGGCAGCACGGGGGCAACCCUGGUGGCGAGUGGCGAACGGGUGAGUAAUACAUCGGAAUGUACCCAGUAGUGGGGGAUAACUAGUCGAAAGAUUAGCUAAUACCGCAUACGCACUAUGGUGGAAAGCGGGGGAUCGCAAGACCUCGCGCUAUUGGAGCAGCCGAUGUCCGAUUAGGUAGUUGGUGGGGUAAAGGCCUACCAAGCCUGCGAUCGGUAACUGGUCUGAGAGGACGACCAGUCACACUGGGACUGAGACACGGCCCAGACUCCUACGGGAGGCAGCAGUGGGGAAUUUUUGGACAAUGGGCGCAAGCCUGAUCCAGCAAUGCCGCGUGCAGGACGAAGGCCUCGGUUGU